rnacentral:rRNA from 1 species
GUGCCAGCAGCCGCGGUAAUACGUAGGUGGCAAGCGUUAUCCGGAAUUAUUGGGCGUAAAGCGCGCGUAGGCGGUUUUUUAAGUCUGAUGUGAAAGCCCACGGCUCAACCGUGGAGGGUCAUUGGAAACUGGAAAACUUGAGUGCAGAAGAGGAAAGUGGAAUUCCAUGUGUAGCGGUGAAAUGCGCAGAGAUAUGGAGGAACACCAGUGGCGAAGGCGACUUUCUGGUCUGUAACUGACGCUGAUGUGCGAAAGCGUGGGGAUCAACCAGGAUUAGAUACCCUGGUAGUCAAGGGCG